ensembl:snoRNA small nucleolar RNA, H/ACA box 20
UUUCCCAUUUAUUUGCUGCCAUACGAUCUUAGUAGUAUGAGCAGUUAUACGCAUGGGAUAAAGCAUAUUAAGCUCACUGUAAAAUCAGUGGUGAAAAUCACCAGUGUUUCACCUUUUUUGCUGUGGCUAGACAUUU